GAUGAACGCUGGCGGCGUGCCUAAUACAUGCAAGUCGAGCGAACGGACGCUAAGCUUGCUUCUCUGAUGUUAGCCGCGGACGGGUGAGUAACACGUGGAUAACCUACCUAUAAGACUGGUAUAACUUCGGGAAACCGGCGCUAAUACCAGAUAAUCUUUUGAACCGCAUGGUUCAAAAGUGAAAGACGGUCUUGCUGUCACUUAUAGAUGGAUCCGCGCUGCAUUAGCUAGUUGGUAAGGUAACGGCUUACCAAGGCAACGAUGCAUAGCCGACCUGAGAGGGUGAUCGGCCACACUGGAACUGAGACACGGUCCAGACUCCUACGGGAGGCAGCAGUAGGGAAUCUGCCGCAAAGGGCGAAAGCCUGACGGAGCAACGCCGCGUGAGUGAUGAAGGUCUUCGGAUCGUAAAACUCUGUUAUUAGGGAAGAACAUAUGUGUAAGUAACUGUGCACAUCUUGACGGUACCUAAUCAGAAAGCCACGGCUAACUACGUG
rnacentral:rRNA from 1 species